GCCAGGCGCGGUAGUGCUUGCCUGUAAUCCCAGCGACUCAGGAGGCUGAGGCAGGAGGAUGGCAAGUUCAAAGCCAGCCUCAG
rnacentral:sRNA from 1 species